GUGCUUACCCCAGCAGCACAUACACAGGAACUGGGACAAACAGAUCUGCCUGGCCCCUGCACAAAGACGACAUGCAAAUUCAUCAGUGCUCCCUAUUUUUU
rnacentral:snRNA from 14 species